GGUCACGUGUUGCUCUGUGCGGGUGAAAACAUUUCCUACUAAGCAGCUUGAGUGAACUUUCUAACAGAGUCACCCUCAUCAUCAUCAUCAUGUCUGCUUUCUGGAUCCAGUUUGUCACCAUCCUUUGUCUUCACGGUGCUUGUGCAGGGAUUGCAGGAGUGGUUAGGAAAACAGCAGGAGAAGAUAUCACAAUCCAGUGCAAAUGUAGUGAGAGUCCAACGUACCUGUCUUUGAAGAAGGGCCUCCAUCAGGAGGAUGAAGUUUUUUUCAAAGAGAAGGAGUACAAAAAUCACACUGUUGCCAGAAGCGUUACUGGCAGACUGCAGAUACAUGGAGCUUUCCCCAACAUAGAUAUUCUCAUCAAAAACUUGACGUUGCAAGACACAGGACCGUACUGGUGUCUGUACUCAGUGUAUUCAACAAAUACCUUUUCAGUUCAAAGUGUGAAAGGCACAGGCUCUGUGCUCCUGGUGGUCACAGAACCAAAGCAACCGACCAAAGCAGAGGCUCAGUGUCCUGGCGUAGUGCAGCAGGAUGGGAUCCUGUUGGCUGUGGUGAUCACUGCUGCUGUGCUGCUCGGCAUCACCAUGGCUGUCCUCAUAUGGAUCUAUAAGAUUAAACAAUCGCGCUUCACAGUGAAACCAAGACAAGGCACCACCAAUGAUGUUUACGAGGACAUGCGGGGAACACUGAGACGCUGAAGUUAUUAUAACCUGCAAAGCAGACGACGUGAAACCGUCAGACUUUCUGCACCACAGAGGCGCAUGUGAAGCGAAACGCUGGUGUUUUCAGCCACAGGCCUCCUACCCUAUCGUCUCCCCAGGCCUCAUGUAAGUGUGUCAAGAAGAAUAACACAAUAAAGAGCGGGGGGGGGGGGGGGGUCUCUGUUUA
rnacentral:lncRNA from 1 species